UCCAGAAUACAGAUUCUAAUGGAGACUGAGCCAUGGGAGGAUGGAUGCUUGCAGGAAGGUUAGGGGAUUUGCACAGCUGGCACGUGGCAGAGGCAGAAUUCUGAACAGGAUCUAAAUCCUGCCCCGUGUCCUGUGCCCUGCAGUGCGACAACUCCUGCUUCACUCCGUCAGGGUGGGUUUUCCCAAACAGAAGCCUGGACUGGUUCAGGAAACAGUGCAAGUGCUGGCACUUAUAAAAUCAUCUAGAAUCAUGCCACAGUGACACAGAUGAGAGACAACAUAAAAAGAAAAAGGCGUUUUUCUUUUAAAAAUCUCACCAUUUCUACCUUCAACUGACUGUCCUGAGGUCUGCAUUUGAAAUUGUAUGUCUAUGAACAUGAUACGACUGUCAUUAUUUAUGUUAACUCAGCAUAUCGUGAACGACAUGCCAAUGUACAUUUUGUUGCAUUCCUUGAUUUGCAUAAAUAUUGAGCUUUGA